GAUGAACGUUGGCGGUGUGCCUAAUACAUGCAAGUCGAACGGAGAUUGUAGCAAUACGGUCUUAGUGGCGAACGGGUGAGUAACGCGUUGGUGAUCUGCCUCGAAGUGUGGAAUAACGAUUCGAAAGAAUCGCUAAUACCGCAUAGUCUCUCUUUUUCCAGAAAUUUGAGAGUAAAGGAUUUAUUCGCUUUGAGAGGAGCCUGCGUCCCAUUAGCUAGUUGGUGAGGUAACGGCUCACCAAGGCGACGAUGGGUAGCCGGCCUGAGAGGGUGGACGGCCACACUGGAACUGAGACACGGUCCAGACUCCUACGGGAGGCAGCAGUGGGGAAUAUUGCACAAUGGGCGGAAGCCUGAUGCAGCGACGCCGCGUGAGUGACGAAGGCCUUCGGGUCGUAAACUCUGUCCUAAGGGACGAUAAUGACGGUACCUUAGGAGGAAGCCCCGGCUAACUACGUGCCAGCAGCCGCGGUAAGAGUACUCUAU
rnacentral:rRNA from 1 species